CUCUCCUAGUUAUUCCAUUACAUUUCCAUCUUCAGUUAACACCACAAGAUCACAACUGACACUAGCCAUGGCAGUUCUGCUCUGAACAAAGACCUCGGGCCCUGCUGUCCCAAGUCUCUGGUGACCCACACACUACUGUCACCUGCUGUGAGAGCAGCACUCUCCACAGGGGAAUGCAAUGAUAAGACCCAUGUCGGAUUCUCUUGUGUAUAGUGAAGCAUUUGAGAUAACAUUUGAAGUAAAAGAAAUUGUGUUCAAACAAGGUGACAGCUGAGAAGGAGAUGGUGAUUAACACAGAGAUCCACAAGUCAAAGUGCUGAGAAUAAGAGACUAUGGACAUCUCCUUCUUCCAAGGCUUGGGGACCACUGGAACACUGGCUGGAAGAAUGGUAAGAGCCAGAGAUGGUGGAUAGCUAUGAGGGAACAGUGUUCUCCAGACACAACAGAUUAUCCAUCACACCU